GGUCACAACGGUAGCAUCGGAAUCUGCAUUCUCUACAAGUGGUAGAAUCCUUAGCCCUCAUUGUAGUAGGCUCGCACCAAAGAUGGUUGAAGCUAUAAUGUGUAUGCAGGCUUGGUCUAAUGCUGACAUGCUAGGUGAGAACAAUUCGUCACUCUCUACUGAGUUUCAAACUUGUCUAGACGAUGAUGAUGAACCAAUGGAUGAGGAACUCUCCACUUGCAAUAACUAUUAGGCUUGCUGCUUGCGGCUUGGCUCCAUGGAGUCAAGAAUGAAAAAAAUGGAGGACCGA